rnacentral:rRNA from 1 species
AUACGUAGGGGGCGAGCGUUGUCCGGAAUGAUUGGGCGUAAAGGGCGCGUAGGCGGCGCGGUAAGUCUGGAGUGAAAGUCCUGCUUUCAAGGUGGGAAUUGCUUUGGAUACUGCCGCGCUUGAGUGCAGGAGAGGUUAUCGGAAUUCCCGGUGUAGCGGUGAAAUGCGUAGAGAUCGGGAGGAACACCAGUGGCGAAGGCGGGUAACUGGACUGCAACUGACGCUGAGGCGCGAAAGUGUGGGGAGCAAACAGGAUUAGAUUCCCUGGUAGUCCACACUGUAAACGAUGAAUGCUAGGUGUAAGAGGUAUCGACCCCUUUUGUGCCGGAGUCAACACAAUAAGCAUUCCGCCUGGGGAGUACGGCCGCAAGGUUGAAACUCAAAUGAAUUGACGGGG